UACAGAGGUCUCAAGCGUUGUUCGGAUUCAUUGGGCGUAAAGGGUGUGUAGGUGGCGCGCUAAGUCGGGUGUGAAAUUUCGGAGCUUAACUCCGAAACUGCAUUCGAUACUGGCGUGCUUGAGGACUGGAGAGGAGACUGGAAUUUACGGUGUAGCAGUGAAAUGCGUAGAUAUCGUAAGGAAGACCAGUGGCGAAGGCGGGUCUGCUGGACAGUUCCUGACAGCUGAGACACGAAGGCCAGGGGAGCAAACGGG
rnacentral:rRNA from 1 species